AGUUUUUCAUGUAAAAUAUGACGAAAGUUGAGAAUAUAUAGUAGUGUUUACCGACAUUGCCAUGUACAAUACAAUGCAUGUAGCAUUUGUAUUGUACGCGGAAACGGAACGAAAAAGAUGUCUUUGUCGAGUUCAUUGCAAAACUUUCGUGUCGCGAUACCAGCAGGUUUUAGAAGAAAUACAAAGUCUUCGAACAACUGCUGUUCGCAAUGAAUUAGAGAUAAGUCUUGGCAGCUUUAAACUUUUAUGCCAAUGGAUCAUACAAAUGGCUUUGUGAUGGCUAAGGCAUCUUUUAGCAAAUGCCUACAUGAAGUCGCUGACUCUCCUGAAUACCCCAGCUGUUUAAAAAAAAUGUGUUAAGUUCCCUUUGCAUUAAACACAAAAUCAUUAUAAAUAAAUAUGUGAUGCCAAUCUAAUAAUAACAUAGUGGAUGCUCAAUUUGGUGGUGCAUCUUAUGACUUGUACAUAUGGAACCAGUGCAAUAAGACCACUUGAGGAAAACCUGCCCAAUAGGGACCGCUGUUGGUUGUUAGGUGACCAAUGUUUGCAUGAUGACCCCCAUCUUGGGAGCUGCUCCUAGAUCCCAUGAAGAUAUGCACAACAUUACUGUGUCAGAAAUACGGUGGAGCCUUGUAGUUGGGUGCAUAUUGUAAAAUGUUUCCUCACUCCAAAACCAUGAACUCUGGUUUUCUAAACCCUCAAGCUAUGCAGCCGAAGGAGGAGACUUAUCACAGGUCAGUAUAUUAUAUACCUACUUUAUAAGAACUUGUUGGGCAGUACCAUGUAUACCUACAUUAUGAUUUAUUUUUCUAGGAGAAUCACUAAUAAUUUUGAAGAAGUGAAGAGCUUAACAAUAUUUCAACCAACACCUAAAGAAGCUUUCACUUGGCUGUUAGAUCAAGGGCUGGAUACAGAAAACAGUAAUCCUUGUGAUGGCAGUAUUGUCCAAGGAUUCCUCACUCAAAACCAUGAUAACAAGUUGCUAGAACCCUCAAGCUAUGCAGACAAAGGACUGGAUAUAUUUUUUCGUGACCAAGCCUUCUGUAUAAUUAUUUAUACUUAAACCAUACAAAGCACUAUCUAACCCCAAAGUAGGCAUACAGAGUAGCUUGUGUUGUGGGUACUAAGAUAGUUGAUAUU
rnacentral:misc_RNA from 1 species